GACGAACGCUGGCGGCGUGCCUAAUACAUGCAAGUGAAGUUCAGUGGCGGACGGGUGAGUAACACGUGGGUAACUACCCAUCAGAGGGGGAUAACUACUGGAAACGGUAGCUAAUACCGCAUACUAUCGGAUAACCCAUAUGGGAUUAGCUAGUAGGUGAGGUAAUGGCUCACCAAGGCAACGCUCCCUAGCUGGUCUGAGAGGAUGAGGAGCCACAUGGGGCUGGGGCACCGGCCAAGACUCCUACGGAGGCAGCAUGGGGGAAUAUUGCACAAGGGGCGAAAGCCUGAUGCAGACAUGCCGCGGGUAGGAAGAAGGCCCUAGGGUGGUAAAGUACUUUCAGUCGGGAGGCGUUACCGACAGAAGAAGCACCGGCUAACUCCGUGCCAGCAGCCGCGGUAAUUC
rnacentral:rRNA from 1 species